AUUGAACGCUGGCGGCAGGCCUAACACAUGCAAGUCGAACGGUAGCACAGAGAGCUUGCUCUCGGGUGACGAGUGGCGGACGGGUGAGUAACGUCUGGGAAACUGCCCGAUGGAGGGGGAUAACUACUGGAAACGGUAGCUAAUACCGCAUCACGUCGCAAGACAAAAGUGGGGGACCUUCGGGCCUCACACAAUAGGAUGUGCCCAGAUGGGAUUAGCUAGUAGGUGGGGUAAUGGCUCACCUAGGCGACGAUCCCUAGCUGGUCUGAUAGGAUGACCAGCCACACUGGAACUGAGACACGGUCCAGACUCCUACGGGAGGUAGCAGUUGGGAAUAUUGCACAAUGGGCGCAAGCCUGAUGCAGCCAUGCCGCGUGUAUGAAGAAGGCCUUCGGGUUGUAAAGCCCUUUAGGCUGGGAAGAAGAUUGCGGGGUGAAUAAUCCUGUAAUUUGACGGUACCAGCAGAAUAAGCACCGGCAAACUCUGUGCCAGCAGCCGCCGUAA
rnacentral:rRNA from 1 species